GACGAACGCUGGCGGCGUGCCUAAUACAUGCAAGUCGAACGCAGUGGGGACGGGUGAGUAACACGUGGGUAACCUCCCAUCAGAGGGGAUAACACUUGGAAACAGGUGCUAAACCGAUACUGCUGGAUGGACCCGCGGUGCAUUAGCUAGUUGGUGAGGUAACGGCUCACCAAGGCCACGAUGCAUAGCCGACCUGUGAGGGUGACCGGCCACACUGGGACUGAGACACGGCCCAGACUCCUACGGGAGGAAGCAGGAGGGAAUCUUCGUCAAUGGACGAAAGUCUGACCGAGCAACGCGGCGGGGAGGAUGACACUUGUCGGAGCGUAAACUCCUUUUGUUAGGGAAGCGGUACCUAACGAAUAAGCACCGGCUAACUCCGUGCCAGCAGCCGCGGUAAUAC
rnacentral:rRNA from 1 species